GACUAGUGAUAGAGUGAGAGAGGGGGUGACUAGUGACAGAGUGAGGGAUGGGGUGACUAGUGACAGUCACCCCCUCUUUCACUCUGUCACUAGUCACCCCCUCUCUCACUCUGUCACCAGUCAU